AACCUGUCAUCUCCAUGGCGCUGUCUCUGCCAAGCCCUUCCCUUUCUGGCCCACGAGCCCUCUGUCUGGCCGCCAGCCUGGGCUUUCUCCAGCUGAUUUGUAGAUAAAAUCUCUGACAGUGGAUCUUUUACCCAAGAAUUGCUUAAGAUGUUCUUCAGAUCCUCAAUUUCAGCAGAAUGGCUGACACCAACUGGCAUGGGUGAGCCCAGAGAGAGGCUGGGAAUUAAAAAAAAGUUUACUUAGAGAACAAGCAGUUGCCAGUGAAACGUUGGUGCACUGUAGACUUCAGACAUAAAAACAGCAGCCAUCACUGACUUCUGGCAAAUUCAAGUAAAACAACAAACAUCGAAACUUCC
rnacentral:lncRNA from 1 species